GAUGAACGCUGGCGGCGUGCCUAAUACAUGCAAGUCGAGCGAACAGAUGAGGAGCUUGCUCCUCUGACGUUAGCGGCGGACGUGUGAGUAACACGUGGAUAACCUACCUAUAAGACUGGGAUAACUUCGGGAAACCGGAGCUAAUACCGGAUAAUAUAUUGAACCGCAUGGUUCAAUAGUGAAAGACGGUUUUGCUGUCACUUAUAGAUGGAUCCGCGCCGCAUUAGCUAGUUGGUAAGGUAACGGCUUACCAAGGCAACGAUGCGUAGCCGACCUGAGAGGGUGAUCGGCCACACUGGAACUGAGACACGGUCCAGACUCCUACGGGAGGCACCAGUAGGGAAUCUUCCGCAAUGGGCGAAAGCCUGACGGAGCAACGCCGCGUGAGUGAUGAAGGUCUUCGGAUCGUAAAGCUCUGUUAUUAGGGAAGAACAAAUGUGUAAGUAACUAUGCACGUCUUGACGGUACCUAAUCAGAAAGCCACGGCUAACUACGUG
rnacentral:rRNA from 1 species